rnacentral:misc_RNA from 1 species
CGCACAAUAUUGUUCAGCAGCUUCACUGUCCUCCAGCUUCAGGGCCAAAAUUUGAAGCACCAAUGUCUCUUGCCCUAACUUUCUGUAUAGAAUAGCCUUUUCGAGCCAUAACUCUGAUCCUUCAAUCAAGUCAAGGACCUCUUCUGGAUCAUAUAAGUCUGAUGAUAGUAAAAAUAUCUGCAACCUUUCACGUACAGGACUCUGAAAGAUCGACUUCAUACCGAAAUCAGAAAAUUUUGCCCCCUCUAACCUUUCAUCA